UUACUCUUUUGUGGCGAACGGGCGAGUAACACAUAUUUAACUUACCUGCACGAGGAGAAUAGCAACUCGAAAGAGUUAUUAAUACUCCAUAGGUUUGAGACUCAAAUUAAAGGAGCGAGCUGGGAAACCAGUGCUUCGCGAGCAGAGAGGAGUAUGUCCUAUUAGGUUGUUGGUGGGGUAAAAGCCUACCAAGCCGAUGAUGGGUAGCUGGACUGAGAGGUCGACCAGCCGCAAUGGGAUUGAAAUACGGCCCAUAUUCCUACGGGAAGCAGCAGUGAGGAAUUUUUCACAAUGGACGAAAGUCUGAUGGAGCAAUACCAUGUGAACGAUGAAGGUCUUCUGAUUGUAAAGUUCUUUUAUUUAAGAAAAAAAGCUUGAGAGGAAAUGAUUAAGCCUUGAUU
rnacentral:rRNA from 1 species